ensembl:snRNA U6 U6 spliceosomal RNA
GUGCUCACUUCAGCAGCACAUAUGCUAAAAUUGGAACCAUGCAGCGAUGAUUAGCAUGGUCCCUGCACAAGGAUGGCACACAAAUUCAUGAAGUGCUCUGUAUUUUU